rnacentral:rRNA from 1 species
GGUUUCCGUAGGUGAACCUUGCGGAAGGAUCAUUG